rnacentral:rRNA from 1 species
CCCUUAGACGUUCUGGGCCGCACGCGCGCUACACUGACCAGUGCAACAAGCAUCCGUCCUUGGCCGACAGGCUCGGGCAAUCUUUGAACGCUGGUCGUGAUGGGGAUAGACUUUUGCAAUUUUUGGUCUUCAACGAGGAAUUCCUAGUAAACGCAAGUCAUCAACUUGCAUUGAUUACGUCCCUGCCCUUUGUACACACCGCCCGUCGCACCUACCGCUUGAAUGGUCCGGUGAAGCCUCCGGAUUGGCGCGCACCUCGGUGCCGCCGAGAAGUUGGCUAAACCUUACCAUUUAGAGGAAGGUGAAGUCGUAACA